GGCAGAUAGGGCUUGGAUCUGGAAUAAGUAAAUCCUUGCUUUGGUGUGAGUCUUCUUGCCUUUGACCUCAUUUAUGUGCUACAAUUUUUUCACUGGCUUCUGGAAUUCUCAGAAAGUCCCUCUGGGAUUACAAGAGUGUUGAAGCAACGUUGUGACACAUCGGAACACCUUGAAAUACAUGGACACUUUCAAAUCAUUAAAGACUCUCAAGUCUUUAGGGGGAAUUAAAGAGAGCGAGGUGAAAAGGAUUUCAUUUAAGAAGAUUGCUGGCUUCCACAAGAGGAUCUACACUUUUCCCAUUCCCAAGCCAAGUCAGGGAGCUUUGAAAACAACUUGAAAAAUUAGGAUUCUCUAUCUCUGUGAAGACUGGCAAACUCCCUUCCUGAAGAUGAAUUAUUUUGUAUCUAUGCAUCUGGACUCUUCUCCUUCCUUCUAGCAGGUAUUAUCUUAUUAUGAUUAACACAUGC
rnacentral:lncRNA from 1 species